rnacentral:rRNA from 1 species
GAAGCGGGAAGAGCUCAAAUUUAAAAUCUGGCGGCCUUCUGGUCGUCCGAGUUGUAGUCUGGAGAAGUGUUAUCCGCGUCGGACCGUGUACAAGUCUCCUGGAACGGAGCGUCAUAGAGGGUGAGAAUCCCGUCCAUGACACGGACGCCCGAUGCUAUGUGAGGCACUCUCAAAGAGUCGAGUUGUUUGGGAAUGCAGCUCAAAAUGGGUGGUAAAUUCCAUCUAAAGCUAAAUAUUGGCGAGAGACCGAUAGCGAACAAGUACCGUGAGGGAAAGAUGAAAAGCACUUUGGAAAGAGAGUUAAACAGUACGUGAAAUUGUUGAAAGGGAAACGCUUGAAGUCAGUCGCGUCCCGUGGAACUCAGCCUGGUUUCGACCUGGUGUACUUUCCAUGCGGAUGGGUCAACAUCAAUUUCGACCGGUGGACAAGGGCGAGGGGAAUGUAGCGUGGCUUCGGCGACGUGUUAUAGCCCCCCGUCGUAUACACUGGCUGGGAUUGAGGACCGCAGCACGCCCUUGUGGCCGGGGGUUCGCCCCACGUAACGUGCUUAGGAUGUUGGCAUAAUGGCUUUAAGCGACCCGUCUUGAAACACGGACCAAGGAGUCUAACAUGCUUGCGAGUGUUCGGGUGGAAAACCCUUGCGCGUAAUGAAAGUGAAAGUUGGGAACCUCCGCGAGGGGGUGCACCGACGCCCGGCCCUGACGUUCUCUGACGGUGCCGCGGUAGAGCACGUAUGUUGGGACCCGAAAGAUGGUGAACUAUGCCUGAAUAGGGCGAAGCCAGAGGAAACUCUGGUGGAGGCUCGUAGCGAUUCUGACGUGCAAAUCGAUCGUCAAAUUUGGGUAUAGGGGCGAAAGACUAAUCGA